UUAGAAAAAAGGAUUGGGAAUUAACAAUUUGGAAGAGCAGAAAUUAACUUUGGUCAUGAAAGGACUUGGAUACUCACUAACACAGCUUUUCCUGUUGGCUAGGGAAAGGAAUGGCACCUAGGGAAAGAGGACAAGGCAAAGAGAAAGCAGAAACCUGCCCGCUGAGAAGAGCUUGCUGAGCACUCGUUUCUACCCAGGUAGUUCCAAGGGUUUUGACAAAUGAAAAGACAAAAGCAUCACCAUAAUCAGCCUACAGAACGAGACCCUCACUCCCAAAUUUCCGUGUGGCGUUCCGUGCAGGCGAAACUUCCUCCCACCAUUCAGAUAUCUUCAAAUCAACCCUGCUUGACUGGCAGAUCCAUGAAACUUGCAGAGCAGAGAAAUUUGUUCCAAGGUUGAGUGGAUUCUUAAAACUUCUUUGGAGAGGCACCAUCUAAGUUAAUUCUGUAAUGAUCAAGUUACAAAUAUUUUAUUAAUUUGAAGAUAGACAAUAUGGCACUGAUGCAAGCACCUAUGACUCUCAAAGGAGAGCAAUGCGAUCCUGGGAUGACGAAUUCUGGGUGCUCGUGUAAUGCUAGAACCAGCUGGUGUGAUUAGAAAGUCCAUGGCGGGGCUUCCCUGGUGGCACAGUGGUUAAGAAUCCACCUGCCAAUGCAGGGGACAUGGGUUUGAGCCCUGGUCUGGGAAGAUCCCACAUGCCGUGGAGCAACUAAGCCCAUGCGCCACAACUACUGAAGCCUAUACGCCUAGAGCCCGUGCUCUACAACAAGAG